AGCGAACGCUGGCGGCAGGCUUAACACAUGCAAGUCGAACGCCCCGCAAGGGGAGUGGCAGACGGGUGAGUAACACGUGGGAACGUACCCUUUGGUUCGGAAUAACUUGGGGAAACUCAAGCUAAUACCGGAUAAGCCCUUAUGGGGAAAGGUUUACUGCCGAAGGAUCGGCCCGCGUCUGAUUAGCUAGUUGGUGAGGUAAUGGCUCACCAAGGCGACGAUCAGUAGCUGGUCUGAGAGGAUGAUCAGCCACACUGGGACUGAGACACGGCCCAGACUCCUACGGGAGGCAGCAGUGGGGAAUAUUGGACAAUGGGGGCAACCCUGAGCCAGCCAUGCCGCGUGAGUGAUGAAGGCCUUAGGGUUGUAAAGCUCUUUUACCCGGGACGAUAAUGACUGUCCGGGAGAAUAAGCCCCGGCUAACUCCGUGCCAGCCGCCGCACGUAA
rnacentral:rRNA from 1 species